UACGUAGGGGGCUAGCGUUGUCCGGAAUCAUUGGGCGUAAAGCGCGUGUAGGCGGUCCGGUAAGUCCGCUGUGAAAGUCGGGGGCUCAACCCUCGGAUGCCGGUGGAUACUGUCGGGCUUGAGUACGGAAGAGGCGAGUGGAAUUCCUGGUGUAGCGGUGAAAUGCGCAGAUAUCAGGAGGAACACCAAUUGCGAAGGCAGCUCGCCGGGACGUUACUGACGCUGAGACGCGAAAGCCAGGGGAGCGAACGGG
rnacentral:rRNA from 1 species